AUAGAUCCGCGUGUAUAAUCGUAAACAUCGAGCUUCUUUCGAAGGUAUAAAUCACCGACUAAAUGCCCGGUUUCUUGACCCAUGACAUGCCCAUCACUUGGAGAAGUCAUUGUUUUAAAAGGUUUUUUGAUUCCGUAUCGUGUCCAUGUUCCUUAGAUUAGGUCAAAAAUGAGAUAAAAUGUCAUCGCUGAAAGAGUCGUAUAGGAGCGACGCGACGUGCUGUGGUACGACGCGGCGGUCGGCAUGUAACACAUACUAGCGCCUACAAGACUGCAUGGAUACUUCACACAUUGCGCCAAAGACAGUGCGCCGUGCGGUCGCUGCGGUUUAUAUUAGGUUUUCCGUGCUCAUCGUUCAACAUUGCGACAAUUAACCAGGUUAGGUUAUGUUACUGUUGUGAUAAAUAAACACGUGCAUUUUUUUCCUUCAGCAAUAUCAAUUUUGCGUUGAAAACACCCAAAAUUUUACAAAACUGUGGGCUACGUUGAAUUCCCAUGUUUUCAGCUGAUUGAAGAUUCUUUCCUGACUUGUCGCAAUUCAUCGUAUUCAUAUUCAUACACGAUGGAUGAUGCUAUGGAUGGAUCAAGUGUCAAAAGGAAGAGCGUCAAGGAGUUGACAAAGAAAGGUGGUAAAAGGGAUGGAACAGCCAAGCGAGCAAAAAAAAGCUUAGCAGCUGAAUCACCGAAAAAGUCUCACUCUAAAGUGGAGAAAAAGAAACAUAAAUUAGAAAAGAAAACAAAGAAGGAUUUGAAGAAAAUUACAAAAGAACUAGGAAAAUUGAAUGCAGAUGAGACGGGAAAAGGCAAAGCAAAAAAAGCAAAAAAGCAGCAAGGCUCUAUAGAGACUGAUGCUCAAAAAAAUCCCAACUUAGAAAGGUUGAAUGAUGCUUGGGGAAGAGCCAUGAAAGAUGUUGAGGAGCAGACAACCUCAGAAUUCCAGAAAGAAUUACUCAAAAAAUGUGAAGGUCAGGUUGUACCUCGCGACAGGAAGAGCAAAUUUAUGAACUGGAUUGAAGAGAAUCUUCACUACAGCAAAACAGAACACUAUAGUAAGCUGAGGACUAUUUGGAGGGCUGUCAAAGAAGUAUAUAACAAACAUAAACCGAUGACAAAAACACAUAAACGAAAAAUGGAGAAAAAAACGAAGCCAAGUUCGGAAGCAACUUUCUGCCCAGGCGUUCAAAGCUGAGAAUCCACUAGAUGAAGAAACACUCAAAAAGAAGAGAGAAAAAGCUAUGAUAAAGAGGGCAAAACUGAAGAAAAAGAAAUUGGACAAUUUAUUAAAAAAGAAAAGUGGAAUGCGAGUAAAAGAUAGUGCACCACUAAGCGAGGAGCAGAAAGAUGUUGUGAUGAAGGAGUUGAAGAAAAAGAGUAAAGAUAAGAAGAAAAGUAAGCUUUUAGGUAUUUAAGUAUACAAUACAUUCGCCACUUAGGUGAUCAAGGAUGGGACUCAAUUUGGGCUAUAUUUUUGGAAACACUUAAAAAAUUAUAUCUCUCAUUGAACUUGCAAUUUUCCCUGUGGGUAGGAAUGGUUCCAUGCAUUUUUAAAAGUGAAUGGUUAACUGGAAGUACUUGCAAUUUUCCUUUUUUUCCUGUAAUGCAAACAUUUUACUUUUUAUCCGUCUAGAAUUUUCAUGAAAAACAAAGGAAACAUUAUUUUUGGUGGCAUCAAUACCUUUCAUUCAUAAUUAUUUUACCAGUAAAAAUUAUGUUAUGAAAGAUCAAAAUUUGUAUAACUUUUUCGAGCGUCCUCUUUUGAGUCGUAAACUGUUGCAGAUCUUUCAAAAGUCCAACUGUCUCAAUGUUUCAACAUUAAUGACUAUAAAGUUUUACUGUAGAUGUGACAGCAUUGUCAAGUUAUUUUUAUCAUAUGCUUCAUUGAAAUAAUGUUUCAAACCAGUUUUGUAAAACCAUGGUGAAAUUCGAAUAAAAUUCUUAAAAAAAUACAACUGAAGACUUGGUUCUUCUCUCUUUAUAGAGGUCAAUCAAAACAAAAGUGGCCAAACAUGAAGAAGGGAGUCAACCGCUAAUGUAAGAUAAGUUGGCGUAUUUCCACCUGAGGAA
rnacentral:lncRNA from 1 species